AGGGGCAGCGGGAUUGAAGCUUGCUUCAAUUGCCGGCGACCGGCGCACGGGUGAGUAACGCGUAUCCAACCUUCCGUACACUCAGGGAUAGCCUUUCGAAAGAAAGAUUAAUACCUGAUGGUAUGAUGAGAUUGCAUGAUAGCAUCAUUAAAGAUUUAUCGGUGUACGAUGGGGAUGCGUUCCAUUAGGUAGUAGGCGGGGUAACGGCCCACCUAGCCAACGAUGGAUAGGGGUUCUGAGAGGAAGGUCCCCCACAUUGGAACUGAGACACGGUCCAAACUCCUACGGGAGGCAGCAGUGAGGAAUAUUGGUCAAUGGACGAGAGUCUGAACCAGCCAAGUAGCGUGAAGGAUGAAGGUCCUACGGAUUGUAAACUUCUUUUAUAAGGGAAUAAACCCUCCCACGUGUGGGAGCUUGUAUGUACCUUAUGAAUAAGCAUCGGCUAACUCCGUGCCAGCAGCCGCGGUAAUACGGAGGAUGCGAGCGUUAUCCGGAUUUAUUGGGUUUAAAGGGAGCGCAGACGGGUCGUUAAGUCAGCUGUGAAAGUUUGGGGCUCAACCUUAAAAUUGCAGUUGAUACUGGCGUCCUUGAGUGCGGUUGAGGUGUGCGGAAUUCGUGGUGUAGCGGUGAAAUGCUUAGAUAUCACGAAGAACUCCGAUUGCGAAGGCAGCACACUAAUCCGUAACUGACGUUCAUGCUCGAAAGUGUGGGUAUCAAACAGGAUUAGAUACCCUGGUAGUCCACACGGUAAACGAUGGAUACUCGCUGUUGGCGAUAUACUGUCAGCGGCUUAGCGAAAGCGUUAAGUAUCCCACCUGGGGAGUACGCCGGCAACGGUGCAACUCAAA
rnacentral:rRNA from 1 species